UACGUAGGGACCAAGCGUUGUUCGGAUUUACUGGGCGUAAAGGGCGCGUAGGCGGCAAUUCAAGUCAGCUGUGAAAUCUCCGGGCUUAACUCGGAACGGUCAGCUGAUACUGCUUUGCUAGAGUGCAGAAGGGGCAAUCGGAAUUCUUGGUGUAGCGGUGAAAUGCGCAGAUAUCGGGAGGAACACCAAUUGCGAAGGCAGCUCGCUGGGACGUCACUGACGCUGAGACGCGAAAGCGUGGGGAGCAAACAGG
rnacentral:rRNA from 1 species